GUCACCCAGCCCCCCACCUGUCUCCAAAUGGACCCAAAAUGGUACCGUUCGUUUGUGCUUCGUUUGUGCAGGUUUGUGCAGCAAAAAUUUUCGUUUGUGCUGCUUCCGUUUCGGAGAUAUUACACAUUUAUUUUAUAGCGAUGACGUCUGGUAGCCCCGCCCCCUUGUUUACUUCCAAACGACCCAAAAUAGUGCCGUUCGUUCGUUUGUGUUUCGUUUGUGCUGGUUUGUGCUGCAAAAAUGGUACCGAUUGUGCCGGCUGCUACGGUUUUGCAGAUAUUACACAUUUAAUUCAUAGCGAAGACGUCACCCAGCCCCACGUCACUGUAUUUUGUCGCGAAUUUCAAGCUCCUGGAAUGCUCCUCAUGCAGGACGAAUACAAGGUCAUUAUAGAUCUCCCAGGCAUAUGCAGUCCUCCUGCAGUAUGCCACAUAAUGCCCGAGAGAAUCCUGGGUCAGUCCUGGUUCAAAGCCAAUGACUGCUCUCAAAGUAAAGGUCUUCUCUUUUAGCUCCAGACUGGAGGGAAAUUCAAGCAAGGCAACUUCCUUGCAACUGCUACCAAGAGUUUUGAAUGAAGACGGACACCGGGAAGGAUUUUUGGCGUUCAGUGAAUCAUUCAAUUUGUCAUUUAUUUAAUACUAAUUUAUUUUCUAGAGAUGUCAUAUCCUUACUCCAUGGAUCGUUAAUUAACCAUUUGUUUGUGCCAUUGCAAUUUUUCAUUAUUAAAAUCAUGCAUCUUCAUUAACCCCCUGUCAUGUAUUUUAUUCUUUUUCACUUGACAUCAUGAUAACUCCUUAA